rnacentral:rRNA from 1 species
UGAGCAAUCUGCCCUUCACAUCGGGAUAACCCCCGGAAACGGGAGCUAAUAUCGGAUACGACCACUUCAGGCAUCUGAUGGUGGUGGAAAGUUCUGGCGGUGAAGGAUGAGCUCGCGGCCUAUCAGCUUGUUGGUGGGGUAAUGGCCCACCAAGGCUUCGACGGGUAGCCGGCCUGAGAGGGUGACCGGCCACACUGGGACUGAGACACGGCCCAGACUCCGUACGGGGG